GAGGGUGUAGCUCAAUGGCAGAGCCCUUGAUUAGCACAUGUGAAGCCCUAGGUCCAAUUCCUAGCACCCCCA
rnacentral:tRNA from 1 species